rnacentral:lncRNA from 1 species
GUGUUACUUCAGAAUAUUGGGUUUUUUUAGGUUGAAGUGAGUAUGUUCCCUUUAGAUUAUGUAGUGUAAUGAGUCUUAGAAUUUGUUUCAAUGCCCUGAGUUCUGUUACUUUAGAAACAUUAAUUUAAUUUCUGAAAAGAUUAUUUACAGGAAGAGGAUUGCCAAAAAAAUGGUCAAGAGAAGAGGAGGGAUACAAGGAACGGAAUCCUAGUAUCAGGAGGGAGAAAAGAAGCACAACCAAACAAUAAAAAGUCUUCCACCAUCUUGUGUCUGUUGGAUUAUUGCCAACUGGCAGUAUUUUCUUUGUUGGUGUUCCCUUGAGUUACCUAUUACAGUGCAGGAAGAAGGAAUGGUAAAAGUGCUGCUUAAUCUCCACACCAGUCUACUGAAUUUUAGGCAUGAAAACACUAUGAAUAAUGUCAUGUUUAUACUCUUUCAAAUAUCCUUAAAUAAGCUGGUAAUACCAGCUCUCAUCGUGAUUUGAACUUGAGACUACUAACACCUGGAUUGAAUGUUUUCUUUUUGGACAAGUUUCUUCUAGUGGAAAUGUCAACCCUCGGGUUAUACUUUUUGGUUCUCUGAUAU